rnacentral:rRNA from 1 species
UUGGUGAGAUCUUCUUAGAGAGACGUUCAUUCUACAAGAUGAAGGAAGAUGGCGGCAAUAACAGGUCUGUGAUCCCCUUAGAUGUCCUGGGCCGCACGCGCGCUACACUGAUGCAGGCAGUAAGCCCUCCGCGGCAGAAAUGCCCCGGUAACCUUCAAACUGCAUCGUGAUGGGGAUUGACUCUUGGAAUUAUUGGUCAUCAACGAGGAAUUCCUAGUAAACGCAAGUCAUCAGCUUGCAUUGAUUACGUCCCUGCCCUUUGUACACACCGCCCGUCGCUACUACCGAUUGAAUGGCUCAGUGAGGCCUUCGGACUGGC